GAUGAACGCUGGCGGCGUGCCUAAUACAUGCAAGUCGAACGCUGGAAAUCUAGCUUGCUAGAUUGAAGGAGUGGCGAACGGGUGAGUAAUACAUAAGCAACCUACCCACGAAGACUGGGAUAAUCUCUGGAAACGGGGACUAAUACCGGAUAGGUAAUCGGAAGGCAUCUUCUGAUUAUUAAAGGUUAAAAACACUGGUGGAUGGGCUUAUGGCGCAUUAGUUAGUUGGUGAGGUAACGGCCCACCAAGACGAUGAUGCGUAGCCGGCCUGAGAGGGUGAAAGGCCACAUUGGAACUGAGACACGGCCCAGACUCCUACGGGAGGCAGCAGUAGGGAAUUUUCGGCAAUGGGGGAAACCCUGACCGAGCAACGCCGCGUGAGUGAUGACGGCCUUCGGGUUGUAAAGCUCUGUUGUAAGGGAAGAACGGUAGAUAGAGAAUAUCUAAAUGACGGUACCUUACCAGAAAGCCACGGCUAACUACGUG
rnacentral:rRNA from 1 species